UCUCUAGCCAGUAUCAGUGAGCCGAGUUUGCCUUCUCGGCGCUCCCUCGUAUUGCUCCUCCUCGGGUAAGUGUGGGCUUGCUGGCUGCUUCGUCGUGUGUGUGGGUUCAAAGAAAAGAAAAUAGUCAUCCCGCCUCCUUCCUAAGCUGUGUUGAAAUCAACGUGUGAGUCCAAAGCCUUCGAGAGGAGGCCGUGGCGAUCGGGCUCUCGAUUCACAGUUCCUUUGCUUUGCUGAGCUUUGCUGAGCUUUGCCGGCUCAAAAACGAAAAGGCGCUUUGCGUGUUUCGCGCUGCGUUUCAGCUUUCUCGGGGUGACAGAUAUCUUCGCGUUCGAACGUUCUGUUUCCUGUGGCAUGUGCGUGAUUAUCGCACCGUGUUAGCCAAACUUGGAAGCUUGUCGGUCGUUAAGAGGCAGUGCAGUGGCCUCAGCUGGGAGACCUGUGGCCCGAGCAUAUUGACAGGUGGAUCAUCAGUGUCGAGACGUUACCAUGUUAUUGAGCAUCGGUGUCGAGAGCUCGGAACCGAGCGAGGAAGUUCCAGGAGCCGAGUUGUCAGUGAAAGAGGAGGCUUUGGCUCCACAGGGGCUUCUCUUGAAUCCACCCCUUAGAACCCCGAUGACUGAGCACCUACCCAGUCAGCUCCGGACUGUGAGAGUCUCUGCCCAGCUCUCCCGGGGAAGGUACCACAGGAAACCAGAGCAGUAGUUGAAAGCCUCGCUCUCGGCAUGAUUCUGCGCUCCUAGGGGCUUCAAGGGGAGUGGGAGCCCGGACCUGCGGGAUCCCCACAGAGGCUUGAACCACCUCAGGAUUCCAGCAGGAAGGAUGGAAACAUAUUCCCAACAUUGGGAGAACUGUGAAAGGUACUUCGAGGCAAGGCCCACAAGGCGUUUCUGAGGGUGUUUACUGAGGAAUUGUCAAAAGCAGGCUGGGCGGGACCUUGUGUUUUUAAGGUGGGUAAAUCGCAGAGCUCCAUGAGCUAAACGGGUGGCAUCUGGACUGUGGCCCAGGUCAGGUGACCAAGUUGGGAAGGUCCCCACAUCCUGCGGUGCAUGCGGUCUGCUUUGGGAGAAGGGGGGGGGGGGCCCGUAAAUAACCGAGGGCACCGUGCACACGUGCCGUGAUUUAAGCAAGAAGCCCGCCCACCCUCACGCCGGCUCGAGGCUUGGCACUCGUCCCUGGCUAAGUGGCACACGUCCGCUCUGGAAGGCCUGUCUCCUGGCCAGUGCUGACACUCCCGGUUCACCAGGUCAUCCCGCCCCGGAUCAACUGCCCAGCUGAUCCUGGAAGCUUCUGGAGAGCAGUAGCCAGGGCUGCCAUGAGCCUCUGGCUGUUCAUCUUGCUGUCUUCCUAGAAAGGCCUCCAGCUAGGUUUCUCCUGCAGGACGGAGCUGGGGCCUCAGGGGUGUCGCUGCCUCAUGCUUGGCUGGGGCCCUGGGCUCACAGAGUUAGGCACUGAACACUCAGAACACUCACCCCUGUUGUCAAACUAAGUGAAGACACCUGCCCCCUUUGCAGCCGACUUGACGGUCACCGA